rnacentral:rRNA from 1 species
AGCGAACGCUGGCGGCAGGCCUAACACAUGCAAGUCGAACGAACCCUUCGGGGUUAGUGGCGGACGGGUGAGUAACACGUGGGAACGUACCUUUCGGUUCGGAAUAAUUCAGGGAAACUUGGACUAAUACCGGAUACGCCCUUCGGGGGAAAGAUUUAUCGCCGAUAGAUCGGCCCGCGUCUGAUUAGCUAGUUGGUGAGGUAAUGGCCCACCAAGGCGACGAUCAGUAGCUGGUCUGAGAGUAUGAUCAGCCACAUUGGGACUGAGACACGGCCCAAACUCCUACGGGAGGCAGCAGUGGGGAAUAUUGGACAAUGGGCGCAAGCCUGAUCCAGCCAUGCCGCGUGAGUGAUGAAGGCCUUAGGGUUGUAAAGCUCUUUUGUCCGGGAAGAUAAUGACUGUACCGGAAGAAUAAGCCCCGGCUAACUUCGUGCCAGCCGCCGCAGUAAGAC